UUCUGGUUGAUCCUGCCGGACCUGACUGCUAUCGGAUUGAUACUAAGCCAUGCGAGUCUUUGUAGUAAUACAAGGCAUACGGCUCAGUAACGCGUAGUCAACCUACCCUAUGGACAAGAAUAAUCUCGGGAAACUAAGCAUAAUUCUUGAUAGAUCAUAAUGCCUGGAAUGGUUUAUGGUUAAAACGAUUCGUCGCCAUAGGAUGGGACUGCGGCCUAUCAGCUUGUUGGUGAGGUAAUGGCCCACCAAGGCGAUUACAGGUACGGGCUCUGAGAGGAGAAGCCCGGAGAUGGGUACUGAGACACGGACCCAGGCCCUAUGGGGCGCAGCAGGCGAGAAAACUUUGCAAUGUGCGAAAGCACGACAAGGUUAGUCCGAGUGAUUUCUGCUAAAGAGAUCUUUUGCUAGUUAUAAAACCACUAGUGAAUAAGGGGUGGGCAAGUUCUGGUGUCAGCCGCCGCGGUAAAACCAGCACCUCAAGUGGUCAGGAUGAUUAUUGGGCCUAAAGCAUCCGUAGCCGGCUCUGUAAGUUUUCGGUUAAAUCUAUACGCUCAACGUAUG
rnacentral:rRNA from 1 species